rnacentral:rRNA from 1 species
CCUACGGGGGGCAGCAGUGGGGAAUUUUGGACAAUGGGCGCAAGCCUGAUCCAGCAAUGCCGCGUGUGUGAAGAAGGCCUUCGGGUUGUAAAGCACUUUUGUCGGGAAAGAAAACCUCUGCCCUAAUACGGUGGGGGGAUGACGGUACCGGAAGAAUAAGCACCGGCUAACUACGUGCCAGCAGCCGCGGUAAUACGUAGGGUGCAAGCGUUAAUCGGAAUUACUGGGCGUAAAGCGUGCGCAGGCGGUUCGCUAAGACAGAUGUGAAAUCCCCGGGCUUAACCUGGGAACUGCAUUUGUGACUGGCGGGCUAGAGUAUGGCAGAGGGGGGUAGAAUUCCACGUGUAGCAGUGAAAUGCGUAGAGAUGUGGAGGAAUACCGAUGGCGAAGGCAGCCCCCUGGGCCAAUACUGACGCUCAUGCACGAAAGCGUGGGGAGCAAACAGGAUUAGAUACCCUAGUAGUC